rnacentral:rRNA from 1 species
AUGAACGCUUGCGGCGUGCCUAAUCCCUGCCAGUCGCGCGAACAGACGAGGAGCUUGCUCCUUUGACGUUAGCGGCGGACGGGUGAGUAACACGUAGGUAACCUACCUAUAAGACUGGGAUAACUUCGGGAAACCGGAGCUAAUACCGGAUAAUAUUUCGAACCGCAUGGUUCGAUAGUGAAAGAUGGCUUUGCUAUCACUUAUAGAUGGACCUGCGCCGUAUUAGCUAGUUGGUAAGGUAACGGCUUACCAAGGCAACGAUACGUAGCCGACCUGAGAGGGUGAUCGGCCACACUGGAACUGAGACACGGUCCAGACUCCUACGGGAGGCAGCAGUAGGGAAUCUUCCGCAAUGGGCGAAAGCCUGACGGAGCAACGCCGCGUGAGUGAUGAAGGUCUUCGGAUCGUAAAACUCUGUUAUUAGGGAAGAACAAACGUGUAAGUAACUGUGCACGUCUUGACGGUACCUAAUCAGAAAGCCACGGCUAACUACGUG